rnacentral:rRNA from 1 species
AACGAACGCUGGCGGCAUGCCUAACACAUGCAAGUCGAACGAGACCUUCGGGUCUAGUGGCGCACGGGUGCGUAACGCGUGGGAAUCUGCCCUUGGGUUCGGAAUAACAGUUAGAAAUGACUGCUAAUACCGGAUAAUGUCUUCGGACCAAAGAUUUAUCGCCCAGGGAUGAGCCCCGCGUAGGAUUAGCUAGUUGGUGAGGUAAAGGCUCACCAAGGCGACGAUCCUUAGCUGGUCUGAGAGGAUGAUCAGCCACACUGGGACUGAGACACGGCCCAGACUCCUACGGGAGGCAGCAGUGGGGAAUAUUGGACAAUGGGCGAAAGCCUGAUCCAGCAAUGCCGCGUGAGUGAUGAAGGCCUUAGGGUUGUAAAGCUCUUUUACCCGGGAUGAUAAUGACAGUACCGGGAGAAUAAGCCCCGGCUAAACUCCGUGCCAGCAGCCGCGGUAAU